rnacentral:rRNA from 1 species
ACCACGCCGUCUACUCUUGGACAGCCUUCUGAAAGGAAGAUUAAUACAAGAUGGCAUCAUGAGUCCGCAUGUUCACAUGAUUAAAGGUAUUCGGGUAGACGAUGGGGAUGCGUUCCAUUAGAUAGUAGGCGGGGUAACGGCCCACCUAGUCUUCGAUGGAUAGGGGUUCUGAGAGGAAGGUCCCCCACAUUGGAACUGAGACACGGUCCAA